GAUGAACGCUGGCGGCGUGCCUAACACAUGCAAGUCGAGCGAUCUUCUUCGGAAGAGAGCGGCGGACGGGUGAGUAACGCGUGGGUAACCUGCCCUGUACACACGGAUAACAUAUCGAAGGGUAUGCUAAUAGGGGAUAAAAUAUGAAAGCUGCAUGGCUUUGGUAUCAAAGAUUUAUCGGUACAGGAUGGACCCGCGUCUGAUUAGCUAGUUGGUAAGGUAAUGGCUUACCAAGGCGACGAUCAGUAGCCGACCUGAGAGGGUGAUCGGCCACACUGGAACUGAGACACGGUCCAGACUCCUACGGGAGGCAGCAGUGGGGAAUAUUGCACAAUGGGCGAAAGCCUGAUGCAGCAACGCCGCGUGAGCGAUGAAGGCCUUCGGGUCGUAAAGCUCUGUCCUCGAGGAAGAUAAUGACGGUACUUGAGGAGGAAGCCCCGGCUAACUACGUGCCAGCCGCCGCGGUAAUAC
rnacentral:rRNA from 1 species